CAGCCACCUUUAAAGAGCGUUAAAGCUUAAUUUAAUUUUAUAAAAAUACCUCAAAUCAACAUGAACCCUUAACUACUACUGAAUGAUUAUAUAUAUGUAUAUAAAACACGAUGCUAGAACCAGUAACAAGAAUCUAAUAUUCUCCAAAAUGUAGGCAUAAACCAAAAUGGAUUCUCCAUUGGUACUUAGCGAAAAUGAGUAAUUAUACAGCAACAUAUACAAGAAAACCCUGCAUAUCACAUCGUUAAACUAACACUAGAACAUUUCUGGAAAGAUUAAAAGAAAAAGAAGGAACUCGGCAAACUCCAACCCCGCCUGUUUACCAAAAACAUCGCCUCUUGUUUAACAAUAAGAGGUCCAGCCUGCCCAGUGAUAACAUUCAACGGCCGCAGUACCCUAACUGCGCGAAGGUAGCAUAAUCACUUGUUCUUUAAAUAGGGACUAGUAUCAACGGCAUCACGAGGGUUGCACUGUCUCCUUUAUCUAAUCAGUGAAACUGAUCUCCCCGUGAAAAAGCGGGGAUACACUUAUAAGACGAGAAGACCCCAUGGAGCUUUAAACCUACAGCAACUCAACCAUAUAAUCCUACACAACCUUAGAGACAUGCCUGUUGGCUUUAGGUUGGGGUGACCGCGGAGUAAAAACCACCCUCCACAACGCAAAGAUCUAAAUCUUUAUUCAAGAGCCACCGCUCUAAAAAUUAGCACACUAAUGUACACUGACCCGAUAAUCGAUUAAUGAACCAAGUUACCCUGGGGAUAACAGCGCAAUCUAUUUCAAGAGUUCAUAUCGACAAAUAGGCUUACGACCUCGAUGUUGGAUCAGGGUAUCCUAGUGGUGUAGCAGCUACUAAAGGUUCGU
rnacentral:rRNA from 1 species